rnacentral:rRNA from 1 species
ACAGAGGCGGCAAGCGUUGUUCGGAAUUAUUGGGCGUAAAGAGCACGUAGGCGGCCUUGCAAGUCAGUUGUGAAAGCCUUCCGCUUAACGGAAGAACGGCAUCUGAUACUACAGGGCUUGAGUACGGGAGGGGAGAGUGGAACUUCUGGUGGAGCGGUGAAAUGCGUAGAGAUCCGGAGGAACACCAGAGGCGAAGGCGACACCCUGGGCCGUACCUGACGCUAAGACGCGACAGCACGGGGAGCGAACGG